UUAGCCCAGCACCGAAGCCUGUGGUCGCUUGACUGCUAGGCAAUGUGGUGUUUAGGUUGGUUCUUGGCAUUACUGCUUUAUCCCAAGUCCAGCAAUGAGUACGGCUUGUUGGAGUGGCCCAAAGAGGGUGAAAGGCCCGUGGGGGUUUAGCUAGUUUUGCCCUGAGCUGACCUUGGAGUCGGGUUGUUUGAGAAUGCAGCCCAAAGCGGGUGGUAAACUCCAUCCAAGGCUAAAUACUGACACGAGUCCGAUAGCGAACAAGUACCGUGAGGGAAAGUUGAAAAGUACUUUGAAGAGAGAGUAAACAGUGCGUGAAACCGCUCAGAGGUAAACGGGUGGAGUUGAACUGCAAUCCGUGAGGAUUCAGCUGAUGAGAUUGGCUUGAGCUUGGGCAUAUUUACCGGCCUUCGGGGUCCGCGCAUUGCGGGUUCCUGCCCUUUUUGGGUGGGGAUGCACGAGUACUAAUCAGGUGCCGUGUGCCUCGGGGGUUUUGGGUUUUCUCGUCAGUGCACUUUCUCAUGGUGUUCACCACGACCGGCGCUGUGUCUGUCUACCAUGGUCGAACCGGUUAGGCUUGGUGCAUCACUAGGCCUGGUCGGGAUGGCAGGUAGCUCACUGGUUCUUGUUGGCUUCGGCUGGCUUGAGCCUCCGAGUGUAAUUAGCUGGCUUUGGUAGAUCUGUGCCAUGCGUCGGAGCUGGCGGCUAUGGUGUGUGCGUGCGUGCUAUGGCUUUCUGACGGGGCUGGGUCUGGUUGGCAAGUUACCUGCUCAUGCAGGUCGUCAAUGUCUCAGUCUCGUUCGGCUGGCGGUGGCGUGCGUGACACUAGCUUUGGCCAAUAGUCUGUGGUGUAGUGGUAAACUAUCCACCCGACCCGUCUUGAAACACGGACCAAGGAGUUUAACAUGUACGCGAGUCAUUGGGCUUUACGAAACCCAAAGGCGCAGUGAAGGUAAAGGUUCGGCUUGUCCGGACUGAGGUGGGAUCCUGUUGUUUCUUCUGCCUGGAACUGCCAAGCAUCCGAGCUUCAGGCGCACCACCGGCCCGUCCCAUGGCGUAGUCAUGUAAUUUCUUAUGUGCACCGUCGGGGCGGAGCUAGAGCGUACACGUUGAGACCCGAAAGAUGGUGAACUAUGCUUGUGCAGGCUGAAGCCAGAGGAAACUCUGGUGGAGGGCCGCAGCGAUUCUGACGUGCAAAUCGAUCGUCUAACAUGAGUAU
rnacentral:rRNA from 1 species